CUCCCAGUUAGGGCAACCAUCCCUAACAGUGGCCGAGAUGGGUGUUAUUGAAACAUAUCAGGGUCUCUAGAGAAAUCAGAAUGUGAAUUAGUAGCCUUGAUGUUAUGAAGUAUGAUGUUGAUGAAUUAGUUGAUCUUGACGUUGACUUGAGACAUACAUCCAAUUGGGCUGAUGGUGGAGUAAAUGUAUCAGACAAAGGUCAUGGAAAGUGUCGUUCGAUAAUUGUUCGUUGUAUUAUGACGCUCUGGUAGAUGGUAUAAAUCUGAUCAAUUGGGAGAGCGGAGAAGAUUGUCUAGAUUGAAGUCGAUUUAUGCUAAUCCUGAAUUUAGCCAUGACGAACGCUCCGGAAGGUCAUAUAUUUCUAAUUCAUAAAAUCAAGUGUCAGUCCUGCAAAUGAAUAAUGAC